CCUACAGGGCCUGGAGGAAAUGCAAGAAUGAUGUAAAUGGAGUUAGUGCGAAAAACUGUCUCUUUAAUGAGUUGGAGCGUGUGGCGGUACCGCGUGGGGAAUGAGCUGCUCUGCUACUAAUGGCUUUCCUGAGAGAAGGGGCGACCCAGUAUGAAGGAAUGGCUUGUCCUCAACUGGUGACCUAGUGUGUGAGGGAAUGGGCAGCAUCUGAGGGGAAGGGGCUGUACUGAGGGGGAGACACUAAUUGAAUGUGCCGUCCUAAGGGGCCCCCACUAGUGGAGGGAAUAGUCUGCCCUGAAGGGUCUCCUCAAACUGAAGGCUGGGGUUGCUGUGUGUGUGGAAGCACAGAAUGAAUGGACUGCUGGAAGACUCCCCACUAUUGUCACACGGGAGACACCCCUGUUUAAUGGGCUGUACCCCAAAUGUGAUGGGAGUGGCUGUAGCCCCCCCCCAUAGUACUGGUCAUCGAGGAAUACUAGUGAAGAAAGUUCAGAAUAAGGUUAUUCCCCUCCUUUCUGUGUUUAAUGGAAGGCACCCCCUGUGGGAUGGGCACAGCCAGUCUGAUGGAAGACUUUGGUAUAUGUGGGACAAGCCCUGGUGUAACCCACACCAACAAGGAAAGGGCUUGAAUUGGGCAAAGCUGAAGCACAGGCACCAGUCAUGCUUUAACAGAAAACCUAAUGCUUCUCAGAUUAGCUGGAAUUCUGUCCUGUCUAAAACUGGGGACAUUGGCUUGCUUUCAGAAGUUAAUUUGCUGGCUCAACUUUAGUCAUGGCUAGCAAACGGAAAUCCACCACCCCUUGUAUGAUACCUCUUAAGACUCUAGCACCGGACAGAAGCACGGAUAUUUCUGAAGAAUUCGCUGACAAAUCUGCCAAGCAAGAAGGAUCAGACAUCCUGCAAGAUACAGAUCUGGGUGAAGACAAUAAUGCAGUGCAGUCUAAUGGGCAUGAAAAUGUUGACGGUGACAAGUAUUUCUGUAAAUACUGUAAUUUUGGCUCCCAUGACACAAAACUGUUUAUUGAACACAUGGUUUUAAAACACACUGGAUUCAAAGAAGAUCCUUCAUAUGUUUGUAUUGCAUGCAGCUUCCUCGUAAAGGACUCUAAAGAACUAGAAGCUCACAAUGCUGAAAGUCACUCCGAGUCCAACUUCACUUGGAGUGUGGCCAAGCAUGAGAAUUACACUAUUGUUGAACAAAGCCUCACUGACCAUAAUACAGAUCCAAUCAUGCAUCAGCAUCUUCCUGGGCAAAGUGUUGAUGAGUUUUCUGAAAUUUCUAUAACGAAAACGCCUAUAAUGAAGAUUAUGAAAAACAAGGCUGAGACAAAAAAAAUAUUUACAAUAAAAGAUUCUAACCAUUUAUCUGAAGAAGUGGAGAAAAAGCCCCACCUCCUGUCAAACAAUGGUUUUCUACCAGGCAACAAGGUAGUCGGCAAAGUUGUAAAUUCUUCUCCGGUUGUGAAUGGAUCAAUCAUAGGCACAGUUCCGGUUCUCCAAACAGGGUUAACCCAACUGUUAUCAAUAAACUCCUCACAGUCGGUAAUGCAACCCAAGCUUCCAACAAUGAUCUCACCAGUUUUGACAAAACCAACUGUUGCAUCGAAGUCUCAGCAUAUUACACAGCCACCUACAGCUAAAAACCUCCCUAAAGUAAUGAUUCCCCUAAGCAGCAUUCCGACCUAUAAUGUUUCCAUGGAUUCCAACUGUUUCUUGAAAAACUCUUUCAACAAGUUUCCUUAUCCCACGAAGGCAGAGCUUUGCUAUUUAACGGUAGUUACAAAAUAUCCAGAAGAACAAAUAAAGAUCUGGUUUACAGCCCAGAGGUUAAAACAAGGUAUCAGCUGGACACCUGAAGAAAUUGAAGAUUCCAGGAAAAAAAUGUUCAAUACAGUCAUUCAAUCCAUCCCACAGCCCAUGCCUCAACCAACAAUAACUGUUCUUAAUGCCCCACUUGUUACAAAUACCAAUAAUGUUCAGUCACUUAUCCAGGCAUCUUUGCCCAGUCACAUUGUUAAUCAACCCCAAGGAGCAAGUGGCUUACUUGUAACCCAACCUAUCAUUCCAAAUGGGAUUCAAGGAGCCAGUACAGCUGUGUCCCUAAAUGUGACAAACAUCCCAUCACAUCAGGCCACUACGCAGACCAUGUCUUCAUCUUCAGCUGUACGUAUUGUUGGAUCCACUCGCCCUGUAACUCCAACAUCGCCGACAAUGUCAUCUCAAAGCCUGUAUGACGCCAACAGUUACAGGUCCAAAAAAUCCAGGCAACAAUUGACUGCCCUAAAAAACAGUUUUUACAGAAGUCAGUUUCCAUCACAUGGGGAAGUUGCAAGGUUAACAAAAAUUACAGGACUCAACACAAGGGAUGUUAGGAAAUGGUUUAGUGACAAAAGGUAUCACUGGCGCAACAAAGCGGCAAAUACAAUUGACAGUAGCAGUAGUAUCCUUGAUACCUCCGCAGACGUUACUUAUUCCAUGUUAAAAGAACAAGAUUAUACAUUGCAAGCAAGUGCUUCUGCUUCAUCCCACUCAUCAAGGAGGCACUCCUGGAAUCCAACACCAGACUUCACUCCGAAAUACAAGGAAAGGGCUCCUGAGCAGGUCAGGGCUCUAGAGAAAAGCUUCUUCCAGAGCAGUUUUCCUACUGUAGAUGAGGUUAACAGUUUAAGGAGUGAGACAAAAAUGACCAGACGAGAAAUUGACAGCUGGUUUGCUGAAAAGCGCAAAAGGCUUGCUGAAGAAAAUAAAAAAGGAAAUGUAGAGGAUCAGGGUUAUGAGGACUCUGCUGAUGAGUUGAUUAUUUCCGAAAGCAUUGAGUCGCCUCCUGCAGAGAGCAUGGGUCACAUCCCCAGUGAGAGAAAAGUAAAUCCGAUCAAGAUAAAUCUUAAGAAUCUUCGUGUAACAGAGUCUUCUGAUUGCGCAGAAGUGGCCAGUGAAAAUGACAAUAGUAUGAGUUUAGAUGGGGAGAAUGGUGCAGUUCCUUCCCCCAAAAUCAGGAAUGUCAAAAAAACUGCCCAGCAGAGGGAAAUUUUGAAGCAUAUGUUUGUCCAGACUCAGUGGCCUUCAAGUGAGGAAUAUGAGCAUCUUGUUGAACAAACAGGGUUGUCAAGAACUGAUCUUGUGCGUUGGUUUGGGGACUGCCGGUACUCCUUUAAAAAUGGACAAUUAAAAUGGUAUGAUCGUUACAAAAGAGUCGUGGCAGAGUGUAAGCCUGUUUCUCAUCAGCCACUUUUGGACUAUUACAGCCAGCAUCACUUGGUUUAUGAUUAUGACCUUGAAGGACUUUGUGAGAAGUCUGGAUUGACUCUAGAAGAGGUGAAGACUUGGUUUGCACACAGGAUGGAGGAAGAAGUCCAUGCUGAGUCAGAUGCAGGUAGCGAGGGACUGCCCUCUGAUGUUGGAGAAAAGACAGUCGAGCAGAUGGAAGCUUACAAUGGCGUUUCUGAAUUGUCAGAAAAUAGUGAAUCCUGGGAGCCAGCAGCACAGGAACCGUCUACAGAUGCAGUUCAGUCAGAACAGCCGUCCAGCAUUCAACUUGAAAAAGGCAAUAGGGCGACCAUCCAUCCUGCGGCGCUCGAUUUCUCCUCCCUGGCUUCCCUCUCCCUUGCUCCUCCAGCUCAUGCCGCUCUCAAGACUUGGCCACACUGCGGAUCCGGGACUGAGCCAACAGCCUCUACUCCCGGCAGGGCUGAACCUGUCCCUGCCCAGCUCCUCAGUGAAUCACAGUUUAUUUCAUGCAUUUUUAUUACAGUAGAUUGUGGUCAUUAUUUGAUGUGGUUGUUCUUCUUUUCCUUGGAAUAGUAACAGGCAGUGACCCCAGUUUACCAAAACCGACCCGGUACAUAAGGGAGCACUGCUGCUGGGCGGUCUUUAAGUACUUACCUUAUCGGCCGCCAGUCUCCACUGCGCUCAGAUUGGCCUACGGGCUUCCAUCUCCCGCCACAUAGUCGGGUCCCUGGUGAGCAGUCUGAGAGGCACGGCGGGUAUGGGGUGCUGCAGCUCGGCAAUGGGGUGAUGGGCAGGACAGUAGCAAAGUGCCAGAGGCAGCACAACAGAUAUCACCAUUGUUGGCACUUGCAAAGUUCAACUCAAAAGGACCCUUGGCACAUACCAGUGCAGUCUGAGAGGCACCCACAGCAUAAACCGCUCCGGCCCACCCCCUCCCGUGACAGGGGAAAGAGGACUGUGCAGCUGUGCGCACAGUACCGGGCUGUGGGCGCUUCUACUCCCCUGAGGCCCGAUCCAUCCCUGCACCCGGGGCUUCCAUGCCCACAGACAUCAUGCAGUGGUGAGGAUGCACCCCAUAGCCGAGCUGCAGCACCCCAUCCCUGCCGUGCCUCUCAGACUGCUCACCAGGGACCUGACUACAGGCAACUGCCAGAAAUAUAACAGUGCAGCAUAUAGUCAUAGUCCGCUUUUAAAGAGGUACAAGACCGUGAAAAGAUGUUUGCAGCAGUUAGCAUCUAAGCAGUUGGAAAGUUCUUAAUCAACACUUUGCAUCAAUUAGGCUGACUGAACACAAGCAAAGAGAGACAUGAGACAUAUUUCUUUUUCCGAGGCUGAUUGAACACAAGCCAAGAGGGACAUGGUUUAUAAGUGGAAACCUUUUCAUUCUACACCACCUCCGUUGUGGGAUGAUGAAGUUGAUAUGGAGUGCUCAUUUUUUUACUACAAAACUGGAUUAAAAAAAAAUAUGAGGAGCAUUUUAGCAAUGUACAAAGGGAUUUUGGGACCUCAUUGCCUUGAGCCAAGCUCUUUCCAUUGCAAGAGACUUUUCAGCUUGUGUAUAAAGACUCCACUUUUUCCAGAUGAUCCUUGUACUUUGUAAUUUUUCCAAAUUUCCAUUUUUUUUGUUCAAUGUAUUGUAUUGAUACAGAGGUUUAUUUAUAUAACUGUUACAAACUUAAAAAUUAGUAUCCAUGCCCUAGUUAUUUACUACAAAACUUUCUAGUGAAAAUAUUGUUUGGACUAACUGGUUAUAAAUAAUAAAGUUUUUUUUUUUUUUCCUUGCUAUUUUGCUAUUGGACAUAACAUGUAGGUAAAUGAGUAAAGAGAGGUGAAAUCUUAUUUUAGAGCUUGGAGUUUUUGUUACUUAAUAAUAGAAUAAAUUUGCUCACAGCAUAGAAAAUCUACAUGCAAGCGGUGCUUGCAAGAUUAGCGUGUGACAACUUUCUGAUGUAACCUUAAUGUAAUUCCCAUUGACAAGAAAUAACCAUUUUGCAUGUGGAAACAUAAACAUCCUUGUAGAAAUGAGUCUUAUCCUUAUGAAUACACUAGGUGUGUUUCAGCAUCUACAGCUGGUUUACUUGUGUGCAAUAAGCAACAGACAGUACGAAGAACUUUGCUUUUAGGAUGGGAUUAUUAUUUCAGAUGAAGAAGGCAAAGCAAGGCUUUGAUGUGUGAUCUAGGGCACUCUGUCCUAGACUUGCACGUAGUCUGCAAACUGAUCUUUAAAGUAGACCUGUCACCCAGACACACAAAUCUGUAUAAUAAAAGUCCUUUUUCAAAUUAAA